rnacentral:rRNA from 1 species
UACGUAGGGUCCAAGCGUUAUCCGGAAUCACUGGGCGUAAAGCGUGCGUAGGUGGAUGUUUAAGUGUAUUGCGAAAUCUUGUGGCUCAACCAUAUAGACUGUAAUGCAUACUGGAUAUCUAGAGGACGGCAGAGGCAAGUGGAAUUUGUAGUGUAGCAGUGAAAUGCGUAGAUAUUACAAGGAACACCAAUGGCGAAGGCAGCUUGCUGGGCCGACCCUGACACUGAGGUACGAAAGCGUGGGGGAGCGAACAGG